GCGUAAGAGCUCGUAGGUCGUUUGUCGCGUCGAUUGUGAAAAUCUGAGGCUCAACCUCAGACCUGCAGUCGAUACGGGCAAACUAGAGUGUGGUAGGGGAGACUGGAAUUCCUGGUGUAGCGGUGGAAUGCGCAGAUAUCAGGAGGAACACCAAUGGCGAAGGCAGGUCUCUGGGCCAUAACUGACACUGAGGAGCGAAAGUGCGGGGAGCGAACAGGAUUAGAUACCCUGGUAGUCCGCACCGUAAACGGUGGGCACUAGUUGUGGGAACCUUCCACGGUUUCCGCGACGCAGCAAACGCAUUAAGUGCCCCGCCUGGGGAGUACGAUCGCAAGAUUAAAACUCAAAGGAAUUGACGGGGCCCCGCACAAGCAGCGGAGCAUGCGGCUUAAUUCGACGCAACGCGAAGAACCUUACCAAGGCUUGACAUAUAGCGAAAAGUGGCAGAGAUGUCAUGUCCGCAAGGGCGCUAUACAGGUGGUGCAUGGUUGUCGUCAGCUCGUGUCGUGAGAUGUUGGGUUAAGUCCCGCAACGAGCGCAACCCUCGUUCUGUGUUACCAGCAUUUAGUUGGGGACUCACAGGAGACUGCCGGGGUCAACUCGGAGGAAGGUGGGGAUGACGUCAAAUCAUCAUGCCCCUUAUGUCUUGGGCUGCACGCACGCUACAAUGGCCGGUACAAAGUGCUGCGAGAUCGUAAGAUUGAGCGAAUCACAUA
rnacentral:rRNA from 1 species